rnacentral:tRNA from 1 species
GCUGCGCGGGAAAUGGUCGGG